AAAGGAAUAGACGGGGGCCCGCACAAGCGGUGGAGCAUGUGGUUCAAUUCGACGCAACGCGAAGAACCUUACCUGGGCUCGAACGGCUCACGACAGCGCCUGGAAACAGGUGCUUCCCGCAAGGGACGGGAGUCGAGGUGCUGCAUGGCUGUCGUCAGCUCGUGUCGUGAGAUGUUGGGUUAAGUCCCGCAACGAGCGCAACCCUUGCCCUGUGUUGCCACUCCGUAAGGAAGCACUCUCAGGGGACCGCCAGCGAUAAGCUGGAGGAAGGUGGGGAUGACGUCAAGUCAGCAUGGCCUUUAUGUCCAGGGCUACACACGUGCUACAAUGGCCGGUACAAAGCGUUCCCAAGCCGCGAGGCGGAGGUAAUCGCAAAAAGCCGGUCUCAGUUCGGAUUGCAGGCUGCAACUCGCCUGCAUGAAGCUGGAAUCGCUAGUAAUGCUACAUCAGAAUGGUAGCGUGAAUACGUUCCCGGGCCUUGUACACACCGCCCGU
rnacentral:rRNA from 1 species